rnacentral:misc_RNA from 1 species
GGUGCGAUUCCGGAGAUAGUUGAAGUGCUGAAAAACGGGAGUACGGAGGCAAGGGAGAAUGCUGCAGCUACCCUCUUUAGCUUAUCGGUUGUUGACGGAAACAAAGUUAAAAUUGGGGCGGCUGGUGCGAUUCCUGCGCUUAUAGAUCUCCUAUUAGAAGGAAGCCCGAGAGGCAAGAAAGACGCCGCAACUGCCAUUUUCAACCUUUCCAUCUAUCAAGGAAACAAAGUGAAAGCCGUGAAAGCUGGGAUUGUGGUGCACUUGAUGAGGAUGUUGGUGGAUCCGAGUGGUGGUAUGGUGGAUGAAGCACUAGCGAUAUUGGCGAUUCUUGCUAGUCAUCAGG